rnacentral:rRNA from 1 species
UACGGGGGGGGUAAGCGUUGUUCGGAAUUACUGGGCGUAAAGGGCUCGUAGGCGGCCAACUAAGUCAGACGUGAAAUCCCUCAGCUUAACUGGGGAACUGCGUCUGAUACUGGAUGGCUUGGAUUUGGGAGAGGAAUGCGGAAUUCCAGGUGUAGCGGUGAAAUGCGUAGAUAUCUGGAGGAACACCGGUGGCGAAGGCGGCAUCCUGGACCAACACUGACGCUGAGGAGCGAAAGCCAGGGGAGCAAACGGG